GGGGGAGAAUGGGCAUCCCACCCCAGCACUUUCUAGGAAGAAGGGCAGCAUUUUGAAGGGCUGGAAGUAGAGGAAGGAGGUUGCGGGUAGAAGACUCCAUACUUUCUGUGACGCCUAUUCCUUAGCUUGUGAUGAAUGUUUUCUCAGUAUCCUAUGCUGAAAACAGGUAGAUACUAAUAUCGAUCUUCAAGGGAGGGCUGUUGAGUAUUGAAUAAGACAAAAACAUGGAAGCAAUCAGCACCAUGCUGGAGAGCCUUUAUAUAACCAAAGAUAUUUUUGGACCAUGAAUUCAGAAAUUCUCGGAGCCACCCAUCAGUGCCUGAGCUUCAGUGAGUCCAUAUCCCAUGUCACCCACGGCAAAGGAGACUCUAAGACUUCUGAAGAGUUUCUUGCUUCUUUCCUGUGGGGCAGUGACUCCACUUCCCAGCAGUAAUGGAAUAUCCUGAAUUAGCUACAUUAAUGUUAGAACCAUUUGGACCUCACCCAGGACUUCAACUACAUUAUGCUAAAGUUACAGAACCCAAAUUUGGCAACUGUCUGCAUCUGAACAACAGAAGUUUCAACAUUCUGCCAACAGAGUAACUCCUGGACGAUUGGCACAGAAGAAGGCACAAGGCCCUCCAAACACCAGCACUGAGUAGAAAGAGGCUCUGAUUCAUGAAAUGUGAAUUUAUGACAGUUGCCACUCUUAAAAAAAAAAACAAACAGACAGAACUUGAGCAAUACAUGACUGAUGCAUUCUCAGCCUGCUUCCUGUGUUCCAUCUGUCUUUCUGCCAGUGCAUUCACCCUCCAGGUUCUAGUAUGUUACGUUUAUGUUCCCCUGCUUUCUACAAUCCUGUUCAAAGAGUUGCUGACUUAACCAC
rnacentral:lncRNA from 1 species